rnacentral:lncRNA from 1 species
CUAGCCAAGCUCGAGCCCCCGUCGUCCCCUCCUCCUGGACCGCCUCUCCUCUCCUUUGAAGAAGGAGCACGGGGCCCGCUGCUACACCGCCGUCGCCGUCGUCCUGCCUGAUCUGAGGCGCGAGUGGGAGGAGAAGGGGACACACCCUCGUCCUCAGCCUGCCAUCGACGUCGUCCUGCCGGAUCUGAUCUGGUUUUGUUCUCCCUGUAAGGUAUGAGGUUACUCCUUCCCCUGCCUCUUCUUGUGCCAUGGCCAAAUUAAUUUGGUUAAUCUAGGCUUGGGUUUGAUGUAUUCUGCAGCUUCAUGCCGAUAACUGAUAAUGCAUCGUUUCUUGAUAAUGUACACAGAGAGCAAAAGUGCCAUUGUAGAAGUUUUCUUGAAAACAUCUGGCUACUUGGAUUGCGCAAUCAAGUGCUCUAACAUAUACCAUCAGAGUUAAGGUAAUCUACUUUUAAGCAGCUCGCCAGAUAAGUUGAAGCUUUUUCUUUCCCCAUUUUAAAAUAUAAGAAGGAUGAACUCUUUCUGAAGUUGGUUCUGGAGUAUGUGCGGAUGUGCCUGAGACUGUCCAUUGUGUUGUCAAGCAUGACAACAAGAUGAACCCGCUAAUCUAUGUGAAGCUGUAAACACACCACGUAGUGUUUCUAUAUGUUCUUGGAUAAUUUUUUGUGAUACUGCAUUUACUUAAACGUCUGCUAAUCCAAUAUAUUUUUUUGACAGAUAUGUAGGGCUCUGGCUUACAUUAAUGGCAACAUUGGAGUUUGCCACAAAAUCUUCUGGUAUGCUGAAAAAUUACUCAUGUUCUCUAGGUCUCAAAAUCAAACACAAAUUAGAAAGAGUUAGGAAAUAAGCAGAUAUAUCUCAUAUUUGGAAACAGUGACAACGACUUUAUCCAUCAAUUUGCAAUUUGCUAUCAGCUCGUGCACAGAAUCAUGUUCCCGCUCUGAUGUUUGAAGUUCACUUUUGGCACUGUUGUUGAAGCUAACUCAUUGAUUUACAUGGGUCAUGGAUGGAAGAUUUGUUAUUUGAUGGACGUAGUCAGCAAACAACUGGAUUUCAUGUAAGUUUCUUCAUCAUAUAUUCACUUGAAUAUUGUUACCGAACUGUGUCACGGAGUUUCAUUAGUGGACUUCUCCCAGUCAUGAAUUAUUCAGUAAAUGGGGAUCUAGAGAAAAUGUAUCAUUGGUCAAUGGCCUGACGCUGAGUUUGCAUCAUUACGGUCGUGAGGUUCACAACUCUCGUCAUCUCUUAUCUUGAGUUUUUCUAUCUCGCGGUCUAAUGCGUUGGUCAGACUCUAAUUAGAUGCAUUAGUGAUAUUCUUUUGGAGCAUCACUACUGAUGCUUUAGAAGCAUGCCGAUCACGAUUUGUCAAAAUGACAGGCUGAAUGUGGUAUGUGUAUUAGUAAUGCCUCUUUUGAUUUUCACAUAGAGUAAUUCCGAUUAGUUACACCUUUGCACUUUCCUAGAUUGCCCCCUCGCUUAUUUUAUGAAAUUUCUAUCGAUUCAGCUCUUUGUUGCAUAAUAAUUUCUGUAAAACGGUUUACACAGAUUUUAAUUGAGCAAAUAAAGCUACAGGUCCAGAAAAAACAAUAGAAGAUAAUAAGAUUUGUCAUAAUAAUUUUUGUUUUUAUAAAAGUGCUUACAGAAACGAGAAUAUAACUAGAGGUAAUAGAAGAUAUAAGCUAUAAAACCUCCAUCGCCUAAUCAAGGAGCCUCCACUUACAGUUUUUUGUAUUCUGAUUCGGUUGAGAUACAAUGAUUGUUAGUUCACUUGCUGUAACGCCCGGAUAAUUAGGCUACAAUAAAACUCUCCUAAUGAUGCCAUGUCAUCUCUGUUUACUGUUACUAAACUCUCGUUAGUUCAAAACCCGUUCAAAAGUCAAAUUCAAAAUAUGUCAAACAACAAAAAAUUUCAAAAGUUGAAACAAAAAUGUUCGGGCAGUGCCAAAAAUGGCAUAGGUAAUUAUGGUGUAGAAGACACAAUUUUAUAAAAUACUUAAAUGCCCUAAAUUAAAUAAAACAGAAAAGGAAAAGAAAAGAAAAUAC